rnacentral:rRNA from 1 species
UACGGAGGGGGUUAGCGUUGUUCGGAAUUACUGGGCGUAAAGCGCGCGUAGGUGGAUUAGAAAGUUGGGGGUGAAAUCCCGGGGCUCAACCUCGGAACUGCCUCCAAAACUGCUAGUCUAGAGUUCGAGAGAGGUGAGUGGAAUUCCGAGUGUAGAGGUGAAAUUCGUAGAUAUUCGGAGGAACACCAAUGGCGAAGGCGGCUCACUGGCUCGAUACUGACGCUGAGGUGCGAAAGUGUGGGGAGCAAACAGG